GACGAACGCUGGCGGCGUGCUUAAUACAUGCAAGUAGAACGCAGUUACGAACGGGCGAGUAACGCGUAGGUAACUGCCGGGUAGUGGGGGAUAACUAUUGGAGACGAUAGCUAAUAACGCAUACUACUAGAUGGACCUGCGUUGUAUUAGUUAGUUGGUGGGUGAACGGCUCACCAAGGCAAUGAUACAUAGCCGACCUGAGUGGGUGGUCGGCCACAACGGGACUGGGACAAGGCCCAGGAUCCUACGGGUGGCCGCAGUAGGGAAUCUUCGGAAAUGGACGGAAGUCCGAACGAGCAACGCCGCGUGAGUGAAGAAAGUUUUCGGAGCGUAAAGCUCUGUUGUAAGAGAAGCGGUAUCUUAACAGAAAGGGACGGCUAACUACGUGCCAGCAGCCGCGGUAAUAC
rnacentral:rRNA from 1 species